CCUACGGGUGGCAGCAGUGAGGAAUAUUGGUCAAUGGGCGGGAGCCUGAACCAGCCAAGCCGCGUGAGGGAAGAAGGUAUAGCGUAUCGUAAACCUCUUUUGUCAGGGAACAAAGGCGGGGACUAGUCCCCGGAUGAGGGUACCUGAAGAAAAAGCAUCGGCUAACUCCGUGCCAGCAGCCGCGGUAAUACGGAGGAUGCGAGCGUUAUCCGGAUUUAUUGGGUUUAAAGGGUGCGCAGGCGGUCUGUUAAGUCAGCGGUCAAAGCCCGGGGCUCAACCCCGGCCCGCCGUUGAAACUGGCAGUCUCGAGUUGGAGAGAAGUAUGCGGAAUGCGCGGUGUAGCGGUGAAAUGCAUAGAUAUCGCGCAGAACUCCGAUUGCGAAGGCAGCAUGCCGGCUCCACACUGACGCUGAGGCACGAAAGCGUGGGUAUCGAACAGGAUUAGAUACCCUUGUAGUC
rnacentral:rRNA from 1 species